GACGAACGCUGGCGGCGUGCUUAACACAUGCCAGUCGAACGGAAAGGCCCUGCUUUUGUGGGGUGCUCGAGUGGCGAACGGGUGAGUAACACGUGAGUAACCUGCCCUUGACUUUGGGAUAACUUCAGGAAACUGGGGCUAAUACCGGCUAGGAGCUCCUGCUGCAUGGUGGGGGUUGGAAAGUUUCGGCGGUUGGGGAUGGACUCGCGGCUUAUCAGCUUGUUGGUGGGGUAGUGGCUUACCAAGGCUUUGACGGGUAGCCGGCCUGAGAGGGUGACCGGCCACAUUGGGACUGAGAUACGGCCCAGACUCCUACGGGAGGCAGCAGUGGGGAAUAUUGCACAAUGGGCGGAAGCCUGAUGCAGCAACGCCGCGUGCGGGAUGACGGCCUUCGGGUUGUAAACCGCUUUCGCCUGUGACGAAGCGUGAGUGACGGUAAUGGGUAAAGAAGCACCGGCUAACUACGUG
rnacentral:rRNA from 1 species